CAGUCGCCACGGGAAUACAGAGGAUGCAAGCGUUAUCCGGAAUUACUGGGUGUAAAGGGAGCGUAGACGGUUAAACAAGUCUGAAGUGAAAUGCCGGGGCUCAACCCCGGAGCUGCUUUGGGAACUGUAGAACUGGAGUGUCGGAGGGGUAAGCGGAAUUCCCAGUGUAGCGGUGAAAUGCGUAGAUAUUGGGAGGAACACCGGCGGCGAAGGCGGCUCACUGGACGACAACUGACGUUGAGGCUCGAAGGCGUGGGGAGCAAACAGGAUUAGAUACCCCUGUAGUCCCUGUCUCUUAUAC
rnacentral:rRNA from 1 species